rnacentral:rRNA from 1 species
GACGAACGCUGGCGGCGUGCCUAAUACAUGCAAGUAGAACGCACAGUUUAUACCGUAGCUUGCUACACCAUAGACUGUGAGUUGCGAACGGGUGAGUAACGCGUAGGUAACCUGCCUGGUAGCGGGUGAUAACUAUUGGAAACGAUAGCUAAUACCGCAUAAUAUUGAUUAUUGCAUGAUAAUUGAUUGAAAGAUGCUAUUGCAUCACUACCAGAUGGACCUGCGUUGUAUUAGCUAGUAGGUGAGGUAACGGCUCACCUAGGCGACGAUACAUAGCCGACCUGGGGGGGUGAUCGGCCACACUGGGACUGGGACACGGCCCAGACUCCUACGGGAGGCAGCAGUAGGGAAUCUUCGGCAAUGGACGAAAGUCUGACCGAGCAACGCCGCGUGAGGGAAGAAGGUUUUCGGAUCGUAAAGCUCUGUUGUAAGAGAAGAACGGGUGUGAGAGUGGAAAGUUCACACUGUGACGGUAUCUUACCAGAAAGGGACGGCUAACUACGUG